AUUGAACGCUGGCGGCAGGCCUAACACAUGCAAGUCGAACGGUAACAGGAAACAGCUUGCUGUUUCGCUGACGAGUGGCGGACGGGUGAGUAAUGUCUGGGAAACUGCCUGAUGGAGGGGGAUAACUACUGGAAACGGUAGCUAAUACCGCAUAACGUCGCAAGACCAAAGAGGGGGACCUUCGGGCCUCUUGCCAUCGGAUGUGCCCAGAUGGGAUUAGCUUGUUGGUGGGGUAACGGCUCACCAAGGCGACGAUCCCUAGCUGGUCUGAGAGGAUGACCAGCCACACUGGAACUGAGACACGGUCCAGACUCCUACGGGAGGCAGCAGUGGGGAAUAUUGCACAAUGGGCGCAAGCCUGAUGCAGCCAUGCCGCGUGUAUGAAGAAGGCCUUCGGGUUGUAAAGUACUUUCAGCGGGGAGGAAGGGAGUAAAGUUAAUACCUUUACUCAUUGACGUUACCCGCAGAAGAAGCACCGGCUAACUCCGUGCCAGCAGCAGCCGCAG
rnacentral:rRNA from 1 species